rnacentral:rRNA from 1 species
CCUGGCGGCCUUAGCGCGGUGGUCCCACCUGACCCCAUGCCGAACUCAGAAGUGAAACGCCGUAGCGCCGAUGGUAGGGU